GAUGUAGAACGUAGCGAAAUGCGAUAAGUAAUGAGAAUUGCAGAAUUCAGUGAAUCAUCGAAUCUUUGAACGCACAUUGCGCCCGCCAGUAUUCUGGCGGGCAUGCCUGUUCGAGCGUCAUUUCAACCAUCAAGCCCUGCUUGCGUUGGGGUCCUGCGGCUGCCCGCAGGCCCUGAAAACCAGUGGCGGGCUCGCUAGUCACACCGAGCGCAGUAAUACAUCUCGCUUUGGGCGUGCGGCGGGUUCUUGCCGUUAAACACCCCCUUUUUACCAAGGUUGACCUCGGAUCAGGUAGGAAUACCCGCUGAACUUAAGCAUAUCAAUAAGCGGAGGA
rnacentral:misc_RNA from 1 species